rnacentral:rRNA from 1 species
CGUGCAAUUCGAUAUGAUUUGAUUGGAUUUAAUUUAUUUUUAUAAUAUAGGAUUUAUGAAAUUUUAGAAAAUUAUUUUUUUGUUGAUGUAUUUUUAAAAGAUUUAAUUAUUUGUAUUAUAGUUAAUUUGUACUGUGAAGGUUUAUUGAAAUAUUAUUAUUAUUAUUAUAUAAGUUGAAUUUUGUUUUGUACCUUUUGUAUCAGAGUUGAUUAAUUAAUUUUUAUUUAUUUUAUUGUUCUCGAUUUCUUUAGAGUUAAUUAAUUAUUUUAGUUAUUGUGAUAUUAAUAUUAAAAAUAAUUAGUUAGUAGUGAAAUGCUAUUCGUUAAGGAAGGUAUCUAGUUUCUUGGGAAAUAAAUUUAAUUUACAUUUUUUCUUAUAAUUGAUUUUUUUGUGAAAGUUAAUUUUGAGUUAAGAUGAUUAAUAGGGGGGAUAAGCUUUUUAUUAAGUUGUUAUAGAAGGUAUAGUAAAGAAAAGAUUUUUAUGGAUUUAAUGAUGAUUUUUAUUAUAAGUAUAUUAAAAUUUGGGUCUUGUAUUUUAUGAUUUUUGUUUUCUUAAGUAUUUAUUGGGAUAAUUUAUUUAAUUUUAUAUUAUUUUUAGUUAUGAUUUAAUUAGUAUAAUUAUUUUUGUUUAAUAAUUGUUUAUUGGUUAGUAAUUUUGAGGAAUUAGGCAAUAAUAUUUAUUCGCUUGUUUAACAAAAACAUCUCUUCUUGUAUUUAUUUGAGGUAUAACCUGCCCAAUGAGUUUUAAAUGGCCGCAGUAUUUUGACUGUGCAAAGGUAGCAUAAUCAAUAGUCUUUUAAUUGGGGGCUGGAAUGAAUGGUUGGACGAGAUAAGAACUAUCUUAAUUUUAUUUUAUUAAAAUUUAAUUUUUAAGUUAAAAAGCUUAAAUAUUUUUAUGGGACGAGAAGACCCUAUAGAGUUUAAUAUUUUUGAUUGAGUCUUUGUUGAAUAAAUAUAAACUAUUUUAGAAAAUAUUUUAUUGGGGUGAUAGAAAGAUAUAUAUAACUCUUUUUACUUUUAAUUAUUUAUUUAUAUAUUUAUGAUCCACUAUUUGUGAUUAUAAGAUUAAAUUACCUUAGGGAUAACAGCGUAAUCUUUUUUGAGAGCUCUAAUCGACAGGGAGGAUUGCGACCUCGAUGUUGGAUUAAGAAUAUACUUAGGAGUAGGAGCUUAAGUGUUAGGUCUGUUCGACCUUUGAAAUCUUACAUGAUCUGAGUUCAAACCGGCGUGAGCCAGGUUGGUUUCUAUCUAUUAGUAAUAGUUUUUGUUUUAGUACGAAAGGACCAAACAUGAAGGAAUAAUUUUUAUAUAUAGAUUAUUAUGAAUAUAAGACUAUUUUGGCAGAUAAGUGCGGUGGAUUUAGAAUCUAUAUAUA